AUCCAGCUGAUGAAUCCUAAAUAAGACGAAACGCGUGUUCUUGAU
rfam:Schistosoma haematobium C9779368_1, whole genome shotgun sequence.